ACCCUUGAGUUUAUGACUUCAAAAAAGCUAAUUAGAGUCAGGUUUUAGCACACCUGGAGUCUCGUUAAGAUAAUACGUUUGGAGGUGUGGAAUUGUUGCUUUACAUAAAGCUGGAAAGGGUUACAGAGUUAGACUUUAGAAAUUCACCAGUCUACAGGUAAAGAAUCUACAAAUGGAGAUGCUUUGGGACUGUUGCUACUCUACCAACAAGUGGGCACCCAGUCAAAAUGACACCAAGAGCACAACGAAGACUCAUCAGUGAGCAGAAGAAACAGCGCCUCUUGCAGGAAGACAAACAACCUCAAAACUCCUCAAAAUUCCUGGUACAAGUGCUGGUGGUCCACCUCUCUGGGUUCAAGAGGUGUUGAUUCUGCAUGCUGUGAAUUUGAGAGACCUCUCAGAGUUUAUUCAGCUGAUUGUUUUUGUAACAAUGUUUGCCAUUUUCAAUAAAAUAACG